UCUGCGCUGCUCAGCAGGCCCGACCAGGGGCUGGGCUGGUGUUGGGGGCACAGGCUGAGGCUGGCCCCAGGACGAAGCGGUUCGGAGGGUGGCACGGGCAGGGCUGAUCCAUACCUGCACCCGCUCCCUCCUCAGUAAAAUCUGGAUAAAGUCUUGCAGCAUACUCUGAAGGUUAUCAAAUCUGGACUCAAGCAAACUAUAUGGGAAAGUGAAAUCCAGAGUCAAGGGCCCCACAUCAAGAACAACUACUGCUUUGGGUCUUGGCUGUUCACAACUGCUGCAGAAUCAUGUAAGGAGAGAGGCAAUGACACAGUUUCCAAAUGCAGCUAUUGCUAUCCAACACAUACUCCUCAGUUUUCAGUGAAAAUCUAGUAUUGUAUACAGUGUUCGAGGCUGGAAUGAUUGCUGGUAUUGGGAUUGAUUCACUCAGGUCCAAAGACUAGACUGUGGGACUGCAAAAAGCUAUUGUACUGUAGUGUCCUUCCAUCGAAGAGGUGGCUACCUCUUGGGCUGAGACCCUAGUGAGAAAGAUCUGCAAAGCUGCAGCUUGGUCCUCAGUGCUCACCUUCAUCGGUCAUUACAUACUAAGACUGGGAACACCAGCUGAUAACUUUUGGAAGGAGAAGCCUGCAAAGUGAGUAGGUGAUUCCAACCUAUAUCUGUUGGAGGUGGGAAGGAGUUCACAAACUCUCGGGAUGGAGAACGGCCCUGCCGAACCCGGCAUCCUCCCUGGUCUGAGAGACAAUUGCAUAACGCCAGGUGAACGUGUGAACUGAAGCCCACGUGGCAGCCCUACAAAUGUCCCUGUGAGAUGGGCCAACACCAGGUUUAGGUCCCACCCAGGACUGGGGGCCUAACAUACGGGAAGAGACGAUCCAACCCCUUAAGGAAUUGGCCAGUCAUAGCAUGGGAGAAUACUGUGUGGCCCUGCACCAGUGGAUGGAAGGCCGCCAGGUGCACCUUGACUGACGAGGGCGCCAGGCCCUUGGCUCUAAGGUGAAGGAGGUAGUCCAGAAUAAGCUGGAUCGGGGCGGCCACCAGGGAAAUGCCUCACUUGUCCACCCAUCUGGAAAACCAAGACCACUUUGCCAAGUAGGCUCGAUGCGUAGAGGGCUGCCUGCUUUCUAGGAGGACGCGCUGAACCCUUUCUGAGCACGUCCUUUCUGCCCUACCUAACCAUUGAGCAGCCACCCCGUGAGGUGGAGUGCCACUAGGUUGGGGUGGAGGAGGUGGUCCUGGUCCUGGGAGAGCAGGUCCUGGGAGAGCAGGUCCGGGCGGGACGGCAACGGCCACAGUGGGGCGACCGCCAGGUCCGUGAGGGUCCCGUACUAAUGCUGCCUGGGCCAUGCCGGGGCAAUCAGAAGGACCUGGGCCUUGUCCAUGUUUAUCUUUUCCAGGACCUUGCCAAUCAGCGUGAAUGGGGGAAAGGCAUAGAGAAACUGGCUUGACCAGGACAGGAGGAAGGCAUUGGAGAUAGCGCCCCACCCAGCCCCCCUCUGGAGCAGAACCAAGCAGAAUCGGUUCUGCCGAGUCGCGAACAGGUCCACCUGGGGAGUUCCCCACACUUGGAAAAGUCUGUGCACCACCUCUGGGUGGAGAGACCACUCGUCCUGAGAGGAGAAGUCCCUGCUCAAGCAAUCCGUCCGCACAUUCUGGAUUCCUGGCAGAUGGAAGGCCUGUAGGCAGAUGUCGUGGGCUAUACAAAAGUCCCACAGUCUGAGGGCUUUGUGGCAGAGGGCAGAGGAUUGGCGCCACCUUACCUGUUGAUGUAGAACAUCGAGGCCAUGUUGUCUGUGAGGACCCUGACCACCUGGCCCUCCAGGUGCGAGUGGAAGGCCAUGCACGCCAGUCAUACCGCUCUUAGCUCCUUGACGUUUAUGUGGAGGGUCAGAUCCUGAGCCCACCACAGAGCUUGGGUCUGAAUGUUCCCCACAUGGGCCCCCCAUCCCAGGUCCGACGCAUCGCACACCAGUUCCAGCGACGGGGUUCUGCCCCUGAACGGGACCCCUUGGAGCAUGUUUGUCAGGGAGGACCACCACUGUAGGGAGGUGAUCACUGGCUCAGGCACCAUGAGGACUUUGUCCAUCCUGUCUCUGGCCUGGGAGAACUCCGAGGCCAACCAGAGCUGGAGGGGCCUCAUCCUGAGUCUGGCGUGACGGACCAUUUACGUGCACGCCAACAUGUGACCCAAGAGCUGGAGGCACGCUCUGGCUGUUGUCACCGGAAACCUUGUGACCGUGUCGAUGAGCCUUUCAGGGUCUCGAACCUGUCCGGUGGGAGGGAGGCUCUGGCCAACAAGGCGUCCAGGACUGCCCCGAUAAACUCUAUGCGUUGUACCAGGACUAAUGUGGACUUGGUGCUGUUUACCAACAGGCUCAAAGUGGUGCACAUGGACAGAAAGAGCGCCACAUGAUACCACACCUGUGACCAGGAGCUGCCCUUGACCAACCAGUCGUCCAAAUAGGGGAAGAUCUGGACCCCCCUAGCGCCUGAGGUAGGCCGCCACCACUGACAUACAUUUUGUGAAUACCCUGGCGGCAGUGGACAGGCCAAAUGGGAGGACCGUAAAUUGGUAGUGUUCCUGCCCCACCGUGAAAUGGAGGAAGCCUCUGUGCCCCUUGAAUAUAUGAAUGUGGAAGUACACAUCCUGCAGAUUGAGGUCAGCGUACCAGUCCCCGGGAUCCAGGGAGGGGAUGAGAGAGGCCAGGGAGACCAUGCGGAACUUGAGAUUCACCAUGUACUGGUUCAGGCCUUGCAGGUCCAAGAUGGCUUGAGCCCCCGUUUGGCCUUCGGGAUAAGGAAAUAGUGGGAGUAGUACCCCUUGCCUUUGAACUCCCCGGGUACCGCUUCCACUGCUCCUAGGCCCAGGAGCCGCCCCACCUCCUACUCGAGCAGAGCCUCGUGUGUGGGGUCCCCCAGGAGGGAUGGGGACGGGGGGUGGUUGGGCGGGGAGGAAGUAAACUGGCGGGUGUAGUCCCGAGAGAUGGUGUUAAGGACCCAUCGGUCCGAGGUCAGCCGCGACCACUCCGUGAGGAAAGCACAUAACCGACUGGAGAAGGGAAGCUUUAUUGAGGGUGGAUCCCUGAUGAGAACUGGCAGGGCGCCCCCAGGCAUCCUGUCAAAACCGCCUUUUCCCUGCUUGCUUGCCCUUGGAGGACCCAGGCUUGGUGGGGGGGACAGGCCGAGACUGCCUCUGUGGGUGCCUCUUAUAGUCCCGCGACUUCUUAUAAGUGGUCUCGUAUUUUGAAUGGCUGGCCUGAGCAGGAGUCUGCUGUGGCUUGAACUUAGGUUUAGCUGGAGCCGGAACAUAGAGACCCAGAGUCUGGAGAGUCGUGCGGGAAUCUUUCAGGCCAUGCAACUUUGUACCCGUUUGUUCUGCAAACAGAGCUUUGCCGUCAAACGGAAGGUCCUGCAGGGAGGUCUGCGCCUCACUGGACAGCCCAGAGAGCAGGAGCCAUGACGCUCUUCUCAUGGACUCAUGGCCAUGUCCACUGCAUCCGAAGCUGCCUACAGGGUUGCCCUCUCCACCAGCGCUUUGAACUCCUUCCUGUCACGCUCUUGGAAUCCUCGAACUUGGACAGGGAGCCCCACAGAUUGAACUCAGACCAGCCCAGGAGAGCCUGGUGGUUCACCACCUGUAACUGGAAGCUC